AGCUUAAGGAGAUGAAUNUGGAGUUAGACCUGCCCAAUGUAGAAGUUAUUAAUGGCCGCGGUACUUUGACCGUGCUAAGGUAGCGUAAUCAAUUGUCUUUUAAUUGGAGUCAGGUAUGAAUGGAGUAACGUGGUUCGGCUGUCUCCUAAGAAAUUAUUUGAAAUUACUAUAGAGAUGAAAAAGUCUUUAGUAAGAAAAAAGACGAGAAGACCCUUAGAGUUUUUCUAAAAACAAUUUAAUAAUUUUUUUUGCAAAAGUUUGGUUGGGGCAACUUGAGAAAAGAUAUACCAAUUUCUUUAAAAGCACAAAUCGGUUAUUUUAAAUUUGUAUAAACUACCUUAGGGAUAACAGCAUUAUGUAAAAAAUAAGUUUGUGACCUCGAUGUUGGACUGGGAAACUAUAAAGCUAGCCGUUUUUUAGGAAAGUUCUGUUCGAACUAGGAUUCCC
rnacentral:rRNA from 1 species